UCAAAGAAUAAGAAAUGCAUUUUUAUUUAAACAGGACUAGGAAUGAUCUUGCAGACACACUAGAUCAGCUUAAAGCCAAGAUCGCAACUGACCAAGAGAAGCAAGACGGUUCCACCAGCCCAAGUAUGGAGGCAGAAGGUGUUAAAGUUGAGGACUUGAAGAACCAUGUAUCAGGACAAGGAGACUUUACCAACAGCACCUUCAAUUCUAAUCAAAGUGAGUUAAUACCUAAAGACAUUAAAAAAGAACCAAUGGAUCCCAUUAAACCAGAGCAAGAAGAGAAAGUUGCUGAAGUUUCCAAACCCAAAGUGGUCAUCGACAACAGGGUUAGUACAAUCAAAGCUCUCGUCAAAGAAGAACCAAAAGAUUGUCCCAAACCAUGGAACGCCAUUUCCGUCGUCAUGCCCCCUGCUUCCAUCAAACACGACCCGGUGGUGAAAUCAGAGAAGCAUGAAGACAAGAAAGAGUUGGUGUUUGAGAACGUGGCUAGAGCUGUAAAGAGCGACCAACAGGCUAAAAUACCGCUGAAGAAGAGGGAGUUGAAAAGGAGUGGAGGAUAUGACGUCAGCAACGUCAAUCACAACAACAACAACCUUAACAGCAAUGGAAGCGUCAGCACUGGAGGUAUAAUCGUUCGCAAUCCUGUUGUCUUGCUAUUGAAGGAACAGAAAAUCAGAAAAGAAUACCCAACUAAUGAAGAGAAAGGACCAACGGCCAUCAUCGCUGUCCCACAAGAGCCAAAGGUUGACCAAAUGGCAGCACGAGAACAAUAUGUAGGUGUUGGAGUUAUCAAAGGUCCCAUUGAGCGUAAAAGGCCAUUGAAUGAAAACGAUAAUUCUUCAAAUGGUCAUCAUGGGAAUGGGAAAGUCUUGAAGACUGAAGUUGGAGGCACAGAUAGUGUAAGACAGUCUGUCCUUGUUGGGAAAUCCAUGGUUCAAGCAGACAACGGUCCUCUUCCUUGUAGUAUCCCUGAGGAUUUGUCAAAAGAUGCUUGCGAUAAGAGCACAGAUGUGUCUGCGAAAGUGUCAAACCUUGUUGAGGAGUCGUCAACGAUUGAAGAGACCACUUCAGUUGAGGAAAAGGUUGAAAAAGUCGGCAAUGAUGAAGACGUUAUUGAGCUCAAAAGCAAGACAGUUGGUUUGUCAGCCGGAGAAAAAACUGAUGUUGAGGAUGUCAGCAAAGACAAAAGUCUGAGAGGCCCAAGAAAGAGACAUUCACAAAAGUCCAAAUCCAAGAUGCAAGCAAGAGAAGACGGGCAGAAUGAAUCCAGCAUGGGUGAGGUUUUGGAAAAGGAUGCUGAAAAAGCUGGACACAACGAGGACGAAGAGGUAUCGUCAGAACUUCAGAAGGAAGGGAUUCGCCUUAAGAUUAAGAUACCGCUUCAUAGACGAACGCCUGAACUCCAGCACAAGGACGCAGAGGAGUCGGAAACCAGCAAUCGGAGAUCCCUGCGGAGAUCUGCCAGAAACUGCAAGCCCAGCCCCAAAGUGGCAGAUAGUCGGGAGAGUAAACAAGACGGGAAACUUUUGGCCUCCUCAGCAGCUCAGGACGAAGAGGAACACAUAGAAGACGAAGAGGCGAAAGUUCAUCCCAAGAAGGAGAUGCACAGAAAAGUGGACACGGAAGUACAGCCCAAGUCUUUUAAGGUAGCGUGGAAGCUUAUUAUAUCCAGUCCAACAAAUUUUACAGAAUGUUUUUAUUUGCGCAAAAUAUUGUUUUGACCCUUUUAGGCCAAACGGCGACAUAGGCGGAAUCGUUGGUCGAAAAUUCGUACGAAGAAUUGCAAAUCCAAAGCAGCUCUGGAGCGGGAAGAGGAAGUGGCCGACGACAAAGCCGCAAAUAAUGAAGACAACAAAUCAGAGAAAGGAGACGACAAAAGUGAGACCGAAUCGGACCAAUCCAACGAGAUUCCACCUGAAGAUGCUUGUAAACACUGUGGGCUCACCAACCACCCAGAACUAGUGAGUUAAAGUAGUAAUCUUUUAUCAAAUCACCAUUACUUUAC
ensembl:lncRNA